rnacentral:snoRNA from 1 species
GGUGCACAUCGUUAGGGCUUAGAGUUGAGGCCACUGGUUUGACCAAUGAACUCACAGUGUAGUUGUGUGCUGCAUGAGUGGCAAGGGUGUCUGGCUCAGUGAGUGAGUUUGAUAGUAAUCCUUGCUGCAAGU